UGCUCGAGGAUUCUUGAAACGACAGGCAUGUUCAUGGUAGAGGACAGUCUCAUUGGGAGACCAGUAUCUCCAAUCAUUGGUGUGUCUGUUCUGAACCAACUGAGUGUUCCUCUCAAUGAUAUUGAGGUGCAAGUGGUGAAUGUGGGCGACCAAGAGGCGUUUCGUCCUUUGGUUGCUUCUUUUGUUACCGACUCUGCUCUAACCAGUGUUUUGCUGAGGUAGCCAAAGCAAGAACAACGAGGAUCAGGAUACAUGGCUUGGUUUACCUAAAUUUCUACUGGCUGAUAUGAUAUCCCUGCUAAAUCCAGCUUGUAAAAUGGCCGAAGUUAUGUUUUUAGUUUGAAUCCAUUCUGAGGAAGCUUAUAUGAAACUGUAAUGGCAUUACAUUUUCUUUAUUA